CACACUCCGACGUCAUGAUAAAUCGUCCGUAGGCCCCACUUUAUCACAUUUCAGUUCGGUCUCAAAAGUUAAGUUCAGUAUUCCAUCGUCACCCUCACAAAAGAGAGACAUUAUGAUUGCCCCUUGUCACAUCACCCGCCCAAUCUCACACACUUGCCAUAAGUGAUGUAAUCACCGCCCAAUGCUACCAAUCCAAGGCCCGAAAUCUUCAAUUCUUCAUAGGUCAUCAUUACUCAGGGAAACAUUGGCACAUGACCACCGACCUCAUCGUCCAAUCACAAAAGAAUUCGACAACCCAAAUUUCGAGCUCGGCAUUGUAGUUGAUUUGAUGUAAUUUCAGUUGGGAACCAUGUAUAAAUAAUGAAAGAAUAGAAGAAAAAAGAACAACAAACUCGGCACACAAAAGUUAAGAAAAACUUUAAAAUAAUUUACCUACUAUAAUCUUUUGAUCGCACCUCUUUCUUAAAGUUGAUUUAAAAUUAACUCUUACAAAUUUCGACGUCAACAGUUUGGCGCUAGAAAAAGGGCCGCAUUGUGGAAAAUAGCCCCAUUCUCUGUACAAAAAUCGAGAGUCAUGAGUCAUAGCUCCAACACUAGAAAUCCAUCCCAUACUCACCCUCAUGAAACUAAUGCCCCGCCUAGUUUUCCAAGAUGGCGAGAGCAGAACCGAGCAAACGACCCACAAAUGAUAGCUAUGAGGGAAGCCCUGGAAAAACUAACAAAUGCAGUUGGCCAAUUGGAACAAAACCAAGCCCAC
rnacentral:lncRNA from 1 species